GAACGUAGUAAAUUUUAUCUCAAACAAGAUAAUCACCUCGAUUUUCCAGCAUAUUCUUCCUCCUCGGAUUAUAAAAGAAUUCAGCACAAGAAAACCCUAAGCCUAGUCACUGCAAAAACAAUUUCUAUAUACAAAGAGAACAAAAAAAUAAAUUUUAUAAAAACAAUUUAUGUGAAAUUUAAAAAGCACAUAAAACAGGGAACACAACAUUAAAAAAACCAGACAUAAGAAUAAAAAAAUGACCGAACUGCAUCUCAAAAAUCACAGAACUCAGAUAAAAAGCAAAGAAGCAGCUCAAAGAGAAUUCAUAAAGGACAUAAGAGUUGAUUUUCUCAAAAUGGAAGCUAUAACAGACAAUUCACACAAAACCCACAAACAUAAAAAGAAAAAAGUGGAUAAACGGGCAUUUAGGAGGAAAUGGAUCAUAAAUCAAGUUCAAGAAAUGGAUCAUAAUCAAAAAUUCAAAAUUAAACAGAAAAGAACAAUGCCCAAUCAAAUAGUACUGUGAGAAAAGAAAAAAUGAAGAAUAGCAGAUACAGGCUAUCGGAAAAACCAGAUAAGAGAGAGAGGAAAAUGAGAACUCUGAGCUAAAUAACUAUGGAGAGAGAGGCUGAGGAGUAGCGGACAUUUCAAAACCGAGAGAGAGAAUUAGGAAAUUUCGAAAUGUAGAGAGAGAGAAUUGCAAAAUUUCGAAAUUGGGAAAAUUUCAAAAUCCAGUGCGCGCGCG
rnacentral:lncRNA from 1 species